UGAGCUGCGCAAUUCACGCACUUUUGGAGCCCCCUCUCUCGCCUCUCCUGGUUUCAGCUCCCCCAAGUGCCUGCAUCCCCAUCUCGGGGAGACGCUGCAGCCCUGGGUCUCCUAGCCGGGCCAGUGUUUCUUCCCAAGGCCCAGAGUCCCCCAAGAGGCGGUGCGGGCUGGCCAUCCUUCAGCUUCCUGCAGACGCUGUGGCGUGCGCUCCCACUGCUCACCCCCCACCCCCCUCGCUGGGGUUACAGCAGCCACACGGACUUGCAGAUGCGUGGCCUGGCGUAGCACCGGGAGGAAUUCACAUUUGACUGUGAAUCUGGCCUCGGAGCAUCCCAGGAGGCGCGGGCCGGGCGCCGCCACGUCUGCCGUGCAACUCUGGCUGAGCCCUGUAAGCUGUCAGGGCCUUGGAGGCUGUCCCUGGGUCCAGAGACGCCACAGGAAACUUUGGGAUAAACUUUGCAAACUUCUUUCUCCGCGCCAGAGAAGCCGCCGGUCGGAAAGACUUCAGCCGCGGUGGCGUGGACCCCAGGCCGGAUUUGUGCACCGCAGAGCGGCCCGGCCUCCCUAGGAGGAGCGCGAGGUUCUCCAGCAGGCCCUCCGCGCUCCUGAUCCUCCCGGACCAGGCCCUUUGCCAUCGGCCUUCCAGUGGCCAGAUCUGCGCGGCGGCUCCCGGAAUCCAGCAUGGAUGGAAAACCGUGGCCCUGAGCAAGAAGUCUGUCCCCUCCCCCGCCCGUGGAUCUGCUUCCCCGGCAUCCCCUUCUCAUCCAUCUUGGGAGAUGAAUAUGUCGCCUUAUUGGAUGCGGAGGCCAGAGCAGGGCGAUGGGGCUCGGCCAACGUCGCACAUUUUCUUCAUGCAUAUUGAGAAUAUGGUAAUGAGCACGUUUGCAUUGUUGCAUGGAAAUGAUGCCUUUCCCUCUGCUGUGCGGAGUGGACAAGGUUGGUGUGGACCCAAAACAGCCCGAUAGUGGCCACUGGGCCUUGUGGCCCUAGUUAUCCACUGGGGGACGAAGAAGUGACCUCUCGGAGCGCCCUGCACGCCCUCCGCCUGCUCUGGCUUCCACAAAGGCGCCGCUGCCCAGGUUAAAGCCUGGUGAAGGGAAAUCAGCCUAGCCCGCCCGACUGUCUGGCGCGCCCCAGGUCCAGCGGCCUCGGAACCUUUCCCGGCGAUCAGAGUCCUGUGAAGGAGAGCCUGGCUGUGUUCUCUAACGGCUACACGUUGUUUGCGACUCGAGUGAUCUUUUAGAAUGAAACAUAGCCACACCGUGUGCCCUGCGCCACAUGCGUCUCCUUCAUCCUGGGGGUGCGUGGGCAUCGUUUGACCGUGUCAGGUUGACCCAGUUGGCUGUCAGAGACCCACUUCUUUUCUAGACAUGGGCUCAGUGGUGAGGAGGCUGACUCCCAGUAAUCCAACAGAGGCAGCCAAGCUCUGGUGAAGGGGCCCAGGCCCUUCAGAAGGGUGAAGGUCUGUAGAGGCAGGUCAGGCUCUGCUUGGGGCUGGGAGGGAAGAGAUUUAUGCUUGCUGGGAGCUCAGGGUAGCAGCAGUCAAACUCCACACAGCCCACCAGGACAUUUUCCUGCCUCCUCGUCCCCUACUUCCUACGAGGGAAGUCCCUAGCAGGGGCUCCGUAGACAAAAUGCACUGUGGAAAGGCGGCCAUUGUCUAGGGUCAGGUUUCUCAACCUUCAAGCAUCCUGCCAGCACUUCUACUGUUAGGGACUGAAGAUUUUUCCUUAAAUUGAGUCCUUUUCAAAACUCAAAUGCAUCGUUUUGGAAAAGUAUUUGGUCCGUCCACCACUUCUGCAGACUGGGAAGUAGCUGUGGGCAGAAAAGAAACAGCGAACAGCAAACCAAGCAAACGAAGCUCCUGAGCCUUGCCCCUUCCUGCUUGGGGUUCAAGUACACCCUGUGCUAUUAACAAACGCUGGGGGGUGUGAGUAGUGACUCUAAGAAAUGAGAGCAUGAAAAGGGAAUGUUUCUUGGUCCUCUAUGAGCUAAAAUGAUGCCAAGGGUCUCCAGGGCUGUCCUGGCUUAGCGUUUGCUGGUGCUGUUCUGUUAAAAACAAAUGCGAACAUGUUAAGGCAAAACUUAACAUGCUGAGUUAUUAUUACCAAAUCAUCUCAUUCAACGUUUUCAGGCAGCACUGCAUUUAAUUCUCACCAUCCCUCAGUAGGCAGACUGUUGAGAGGCCACAUGUGAUUGUGUAGGAUGUUUACUGAGCAGCAGACUUCCAAGAGGGUAAGAGGGUACUGAAGUCACCCCCUCUGGGUUCACCAAGUUGUGUGUCCUGGUUUAGGCAAAACACAGAAACUAUUAAUCUGUACAAAAAAGUUGGGAGGAUGACUCAGUCCUUGGAAAAAUUGGAAAACUGAGGGUUUGGGAAUUUGGAAAAGUGUGGAUUGAUGUUUUCAACUGUUCCCUCUGGGACCAGAGGGUUGGAGUCUUUGAGACUAGGGGCAGGGAUCUGGGAAGACCAUCCACUGGAUGAGUUGAAGGGAAGAGCCAACAGGACCCCAGAUGCCUAUCCCUUAAGCUCCUUACUCGUUACCAAGUCCUUGGACUGGGCUGGAGCAAACACUGAAUGGGUGUCCAGGCUGCAGUGUCCCUUGCGGGAGGGGAGGAGAGGUCUACAGUUUUAGGUCUAAUGAUGGGUAUCUGAACAAUGUAGACUUUUCAGAAGUUUACCACAUUCGCCAUCCCCCAUUCCAGUCCACACUGAUGGAGCUUCCAGACUCCUCCUGACACAUGGAGAUGGGGGCUUGGACCUCUCUCUACUUUUGUGGUUAAUCUUAGUAGUGACUUCUCCAUUGAUUGAAUUGUCUAAAUGGUAUUUUAAGACCACUCAAAUAUUUCGAUCUCAAGGUUUGUUUGACAAACUGGAAGGCUAAAAUAUACAAGACCUGUCCUUCAGACCCCUCAUCCAUCUUCCUUCCCUUCCCUUCUCUCUCACUUU